AGCAGCCGCGGUAAUUCCAGCUCCAAUAGCGUAUAUUAAAGUUGUUGCAGUUAAAAAGCUCGUAGUUGAAUUUCGGGAUUCAUCCGUUGGUCGGGCUUCACGGUCCGUACUGGUGUGAUGGGUUCCUACCUUCUGAAUAACCGGCAUGCCAUUAAUUUGGUGCGCCGGGGAAGCAGAACUAUUACCUUGAAAAAAUUAGAGUGCUUAAAGCAGGCAAGUGCCUGAAUAGGUUAGCAUGGAAUAAUAAAAUAGGACGGCAUGGUUCUAUUUUGUUGGUUUCUAGGAUCACCGUAAUGAUUAAUAGGGAUAGUUGGGGGCAUUAGUAUUCAAUUGUCAGAGGUGAAAUUCUUGGAUUUAUUGAAGACUAACUUCUGCGAAAGCAUUUGCCAAGGAUGUUUUCAUUAAUCAAGAACGAAAGUUAGGGGAUCGAAGACGAUCAGAUACCGUCGU
rnacentral:rRNA from 1 species